rnacentral:rRNA from 1 species
AACGAACGCUGGCGGCAUGCCUAACACAUGCAAGUCGAACGAGACCUUCGGGUCUAGGGGCGCACGGGUGCGUAACGCGGGGGAACCUGCCCUUAGGUUCGGAAUAACUCCCCGGAAGGGGUGCUAAUACAGGAUAAUGUCUUCGGACCAAAGAUUUAUCGCCUUGGGAUGGGCCCGCGUUGGAUUAGCUAGUUGGUAGGGUAAAAGCCUACCAAGGCGACGAUCCAUAGCUGGUCUGAGAGGAGGAUCAGCCACACUGGGACUGAGACACGGCCCAGACUCGUACGGGAGGCAGCGGUGGGGAAUAUUGGAGAAUGGGCGCAAGCCUGAUCCAGCAAUGCCGCGUGAGUGAUGAAGGCCUUAGGGUUGUAAAGCGCUUUUACCCGGGAUGAUAAUGACAGUACCGGGAGAAUAAGCUCCGGCUAACUCCGUG